UACGUAGGGUGCGAGCGUUAAUCGGAAUUACUGGGCGUAAAGCGUGCGCAGGCGGUUUUGUAAGCCAGAUGUGAAAUCCCCGGGCUUAACCUGGGAACGGCAUCCGAUACUGGAGGGCUUGAAUUCGGGAGAGGGAUGCAGAAUUCCAGGUGUAGCGGUGAAAUGCGUAGAUAUCUGGAGGAACACCGGUGGCGAAGGCGGCAUCCUGGACCAACACUGACGCUGAUGAGCGAAAGCCAGGGGAGCAAACGGG
rnacentral:rRNA from 1 species